rnacentral:tRNA from 2 species
GGAGGCGUACCCAAGUGGACGAAGGGGGCUGACUCGAAAUCAGCUAGGACGGGCAACCGUCGCGGAGGUUCGAAUCCUCUCGCCUCCACCA